ACAUGAAAAAGAAGGAAAAUGGACUAUGAAUGCAUAAAAAGAGACGCGAAACUACGUUAAAUGCAUGAAAAACAAGGGCUUAAACUGGUAAAAUCUAGCGUUAUCAACACCCCCAAACUUAGCUCUUUGCUUGUCCUCAAGCAACAAAUAGAACUAAGGUAGGAGUGAGGUUUGAAGGUGGGGAUUCAGAGCCAAAAUAUGCAUGUAGAGUAAAUGGGUUCAAUGUCCAUAUUGAUAAGUUGAAUGAUCUUUACUUAAAAACUUUAGCCAUCUUCUUCACAACACAACCUAACUUCUUACUUAGUCCAUUCAAGCAUUCAAAUAAGCAUAUUCCCUUUAACAUUCAUUAAGUAAGAACCAUAUAUCACACUAUGCAAUGUGUAUUGAACUCAUUUGGCUAAGGAUAAAGGGUCAAGAGACAAAAAUGGUCCCUUAAAGAAUAGGCUUAACUAACAAGGGAUCUUUCAAGAAUGAUUAAGUUUUAGUAAAAUGCUAAAGGUAAGUCCCAAGUUAUGCAUACAGAGAUAAGAUCCCAUCUACCCAAAGUAUAACCUAUGAA
rnacentral:sRNA from 1 species